rnacentral:rRNA from 1 species
GACGAACGCUGGCGGCGUGCCUAAUACAUGCAAGUCGAACGAAGCUGUUUUAACUGGUGCUUGCACCGACUUAAACAACUGAGUGGCGAACGGGUGAGUAACACGUGGGUAACCUGCCCCAAAGCGGGGGAUAACAUUUGGAAACAGAUGCUAAUACCGCAUAACCACAGAAACCACAUGGUUUCUGUGUCAAAGAUGGUUUCGGCUAUCACUUUGGGAUGGGCCCGCGGCGUAUUAGCUAGUUGAUAGGGUAAUGGCUUACCAAGGCAAUGAUACGUAGCCGAACUGAGAGGUUGAUCGGCCACAUUGGGACUGAGACACGGCCCAAACUCCUACGGGAGGCAGCAGUAGGGAAUCUUCCACAAUGGACGAAAGUCUGAUGGAGCAACGCCGCGUGAGUGAAGAAGGUUUUCGGAUCGUAAAACUCUGUUGUCAGAGAAGAACGUGUGCGAGAGUAACUGUUCGUGCAGUGACGGUAUCUGGCCAGAAAGCCACGGCUAACUACGUGCCAGCCGCCGCAGUAA